rnacentral:rRNA from 1 species
GACGAACGCUGGCGGCGUGCCUAACACAUGCAAGUCGAGCGAGGAAUGACUGGUAGCUUGCUACCGGUUAUUUCUAGCGGCGGACGGGUGAGUAACGCGUGAGCAACCUGCCUUUAUCAGGGGGAUAACGCAUCGAAAGAUGUGCUAAUACCGCGUAAGACCACAGCCUCCCAUGGGGCAGGGGUCAAAGGAGCAAUCCGGAUAAAGAUGGGCUCGCGUGCGAUUAGCUAGUUGGUGAGAUAACAGCCCACCAAGGCGACGAUCGGUAGCCGGUCUGAGAGGAUGAACGGCCACAUUGGGACUGAGAUACGGCCCAGACUCCUACGGGAGGCAGCAGUGGGGAAUAUUGGGCAAUGGGCGAAAGCCUGACCCAGCAACGCCGCGUGAAGGAAGAAGGCCUUCGGGUUGUAAACCUCUUUUACCAGGGACGAAGGACGUGACGGUACCUGGAGAAAAAGCAACGGCUAACUACGUGCCAGCCGCCGCAGUAA